rnacentral:rRNA from 1 species
UUGGCCGGUAUGAAUGGCAUCACGAGGGCCCCCCUGUCUUAAGAGGACUCUCCAUGAAAUUGAAUUCGUAGUGAAGAUGCUACGUCCAUAUUGUAAGACGAAAAGUCCCCAUUGAGCUUUACUAAAGACUUAUAUGGCUCGAAUAACUUAAAUAAAAAGUUUAGAUAAUGUGGGAUCUGUUUUUGGUUAAUGAGACACCACUCUUUUAUUUUAAGAGAACUAACCUUAUAGGGAGAAUGUAAGUUAGAUAGUUUGGUUGGGGCGACCACCUUUUAAAAGGUAACGAAGGUGAGCUUAAGGUCCGUAGUUAAUAGCUAGAGGCCUGACUGCAAGGGGGACAUCCCGAGCAGACACAUCCUUAAGGAUGU